rnacentral:rRNA from 1 species
CAGCAGUGGGGAAUUUUGGACAAUGGGGGCAACCCUGAUCCAGCCAUUCCGCGUGAGUGAAGAAGGCCUUCGGGUUGUAAAGCUCUUUCGGCAGGAACGAAACGGUCCGUAUUAAUACUGCGGGCUAAUGACGGUACCUGAAGAAGAAGCACCGGCUAACUACGUGCCAGCAGCCGCGGUAAUACGUAGGGUGCGAGCGUUAAUCGGAAUUACUGGGCGUAAAGCGUGCGCAGGCGGUUGUGUAAGACAGGUGUGAAAUCCCCGGGCUUAACCUGGGAACUGCGCUUGUGACUGCACGGCUAGAGUAUGGCAGAGGGGGGUGGAAUUCCACGUGUAGCAGUGAAAUGCGUAGAGAUGUGGAGGAACACCGAUGGCGAAGGCAGCCCCCUGGGCCAAUACUGACGCUCAUGCACGAAAGCGUGGGGAGCAAACAGGAUUAGAUACCCUGGUAGUCCACGCCCUAAACGAUGUCGACUAGGUGUUCGGUGAGGAGAC